rnacentral:misc_RNA from 1 species
AAGUCGUAACAAGGUCUCCGUAGGUGAACCUGCGGAGGGAUCAUUAACACUGAUCAAUGAUUCAUAAGUCGAAAGACUCAUGUUUCGUUGUAUCUAUCCAUACACUGUUGAACUAGGUUGCUUUUGACAACCAAUCCUUAUCCCCGAGGCUUAGAUACUGUUUAGAUGGAUGUGUACAGGGGGAUGUGUUGUAAUGACACAUCUUGAUUCAUCUAGACAUGGGAAACCAAGGUAUCUUAGCUUUGGACUGAAUGACUAGCGCCCGUACAAUGGUUAACACUAUUUCACCCCUAUGACAAUUGACUGAUUUAAUGGAGUCAACUGAAAAGUUGAUCUCUUUCCAUGAUUAUCUAUAAUCUAAGCACAACUCUUAGCAACGGAUAUCUUGGUUCUC